GACGAACGCUGGCGGCGUGCCUAAUACAUGCAAGUCGAGCGGAUUUAUCCUUCGGGAUAAGUUAGCGGCGGACGGGUGAGUAACACGUAGGUAACCUGCCUAUAAGACCGGGAUAACUAUCGGAAACGAUAGCUAAGACCGGAUAACUGGUUUUCUCGCAUGAGAGAAUUAUGAAACACGGAGCAAUCUGUGGCUUAUAGAUGGGCCUGCGGCGCAUUAGCUAGUUGGUAGGGUAACGGCCUACCAAGGCGACGAUGCGUAGCCGACCUGAGAGGGUGAACGGCCACACUGGGACUGAGACACGGCCCAGACUCCUACGGGUGGCAG
rnacentral:rRNA from 1 species